rnacentral:sRNA from 1 species
GUAUCUGAAGUCUGACGAGGAUGAGAACCUCCGGGGGCAAGAGGUUCUACUCGAGCGAAGCGAGAGAACGUUGCGUCAGCAACGGCCCGCAGUGGCAAGUCAUCCUCUGUCACCGGCAG